GAGUGCGGUAGGGGAGAUUGGAAUUCCUGGUGUAGCGGUGGAAUGCGCAGAUAUCAGGAGGAACACCGAUGGCGAAGGCAGAUCUCUGGGCCGUAACUGACGCUGAGGAGCGAAAGCGUGGGGAGCGAACAGGAUUAGAUACCCUGGUAGUCCACGCCGUAAACGGUGGGAACUAGAUGUGGGGUCCGUUCCACGGAUUCCGUGUCGCAGCUAACGCAUUAAGUUCCCCGCCUGGGGAGUACGGCCGCAAGGCUAAAACUCAAAGGAAUUGACGGGGGCCCGCACAAGCGGCGGAGCAUGCGGAUUAAUUCGAUGCAACGCGAAGAGCCUUACCAAGGCUUGACAUAUAGAGGAAAAGUGCAGAGAUGCACUCCCCGCAAGGUCUCUAUACAGGUGGUGCAUGGUUGUCGUCAGCUCGUGUCGUGAGAUGUUGGGUUAAGUCCCGCAACGAGCGCAACCCUCGUCCUAUGUUGCCAGCACGUAAAGGUGGGAACUCAUGGGAGACUGCCGGGGUCAACUCGGAGGAAGGUGGGGAUGACGUCAAAUCAUCAUGCCCCUUAUGUCUUGGGCUUCACGCAUGCUACAAUGGCCGGUACAGAGGGCUGCAAUACCGCAAGGUGGAGCGAAUCCCAGAAAGCCGGUCUCAGUUCGGAUUGAGGUCUGCAACUCGACCUCAUGAAGUCGGAGUCGCUAGUAAUCGCGAAUCAGCAACGUCGCGGUGAAUACGUUCCCGGGCCUUGUACACACCGCCCGUCAAGUCAUGAAAGUCGGUAACACCCGAAGCCGGUGGCCCAACCUUUUGGAGGGAGCCGUCGAAGGUGGGAUCGGUGAUUAGGACUAAGUCGUAACAAGGUAACCGUA
rnacentral:rRNA from 1 species